rnacentral:rRNA from 1 species
CCUACGGGGGGCUGCAGUGGGGAAUAUUGCACAAUGGGCGCAAGCCUGAUGCAGCCAUGCCGCGUGUGUGAAGAAGGCCUUCGGGUUGUAAAGCACUUUCAGCGGGGAGGAAGGCGGUGAGGUUAAUAACCUCAUCGAUUGACGUUACCCGCAGAAGAAGCACCGGCUAACUCCGUGCCAGCAGCCGCGGUAAUACGGAGGGUGCAAGCGUUAAUCGGAAUUACUGGGCGUAAAGCGCACGCAGGCGGUCUGUCAAGUCGGAUGUGAAAUCCCCGGGCUCAACCUGGGAACUGCAUUCGAAACUGGCAGGCUAGAGUCUUGUAGAGGGGGGUAGAAUUCCAGGUGUAGCGGUGAAAUGCGUAGAGAUCUGGAGGAAUACCGGUGGCGAAGGCGGCCCCCUGGACAAAGACUGACGCUCAGGUGCGAAAACGUGGGAGCAAACAGGAUUAGAUACCCGGGUAGUC